rnacentral:rRNA from 1 species
UACAGAGGUCUCAAGCGUUGUUCGGAUUCAUUGGGCGUAAAGGGUGCGUAGGUGGCACCGUAAGUGGGGUGUGAAAUUUCGGAGCUUAACUCCGAAACUGCAUUCCAUACUGCGGUGCUUGAGGACUGGAGAGGAGACUGGAAUUUACGGUGUAGCAGUGAAAUGCGUAGAGAUCGUAAGGAAGACCAGUGGCGAAGGCGGGUCUCUGGACAGUUCCUGACGCUGAGGCACGAAGGUCAGGGGAGCAAACGGG